rnacentral:rRNA from 1 species
UGGGGAAUAUUGCACAAUGGGCGAAAGCCUGAUGCAGCGACGCCGCGUGAGGGAUGACGGCCUUCGGGUUGUAAACCUCUUUCAGCAGGGACGAAGCGCAAGUGACGGUACCUGCAGAAGAAGCGCCGGCCAACUACGUGCCAGCAGCCGCGGUAAGACGUAGGGCGCGAGCGUUGUCCGGAAUUAUUGGGCGUAAAGAGCUCGUAGGCGGCUUGUUGCGUCGUCCGUGAAAUCCUGGGGCUCAACUCCAGGCUUGCGGGCGAUACGGGCAGGCUAGAGUUCGGUAGGGGAGACUGGAAUUCCUGGUGUAGCGGUGAAAUGCGCAGAUAUCAGGAGGAACACCGGUGGCGAAGGCGGGUCUCUGGGCCGAUACUGACGCUGAGGAGCGAAAGCGUGGGGAGCGAACAGG